rnacentral:lncRNA from 1 species
AACUGUGCGCGCACAAAUUAGCGCGGCGUUUGUGACGUUUGAAUUUGGCGCCUUUUCCCGCGCAUGCCAUUAGCUCCGGCCGGUGCACUGCGUUACUGCGCUAAAGAAAGUAGUUCAUCAAAGAAGCGAAGCAAAAAACUUUUAUACACUUGCAAAUCGCAACAAUUGUUCAGUAAUAACAUGAAAUUACAUAAUUUGUUAUCCAAUGGUACAAUUUAUGAUAAUAUAAGCGUGUAUUUGUAUGAGUGUACAUGUAUGAUUGCGCGUUUGCGCUGUUGAUGCUUGGCGCAUUCCGGCGAGUUCGUGCACGCCGUUAGCUUGAGAGUUUCCUGCGUUUUCUGUGUUCUUUGUGUGCUUCGCUGUGACAUCUUUGGAAUAUUCCUGCGUGUUGCUCGCUUUUUAUGGACUUGUUGCCUCGAAGAUCGCCAUGAUCGCCUCCGACUCAGCGACAUCAAGGAUUCAAAAUGAGCUGGGAGAGGCCCCAGCUGGAACGGUUCACAUAGGUUGAAGGAGUGCACCUUGAGAAGGUUAUCCUGGCACAGUUUACCAUGGCCUGCCAUGGUGGACCAGGAAAGUUUGCAAGGGCCUUGCUUCACCAUGUGUUCACAGAGGAGGAGCUCAUGGGCUAUUUGGGCUUUGGAAAUAACACCAAGGGGCAAAAAAGGCUCUUGACCCCACCAGGGU